rnacentral:tRNA from 1 species
GUGCCUCUGGUGCAGGCGCAUCAGCAGCCGGCGCCUCAGGUGCCGGUGCUUCGCCCUCAACAGGAGCCGGCGGUGCUGGCUCGUCGAUGCACA